CCUGAAAAACACGCAUGCGCAUUAAGUGGGCGGAUGUAAUGAUUUCGAUGGGAAGAAAUAAUAUUCAGCAUCGAAGGAAUAACAACUGAAAUCAUCCCGUCCUGCAGCAUGCACCUAUGUGAAUGUGGAGAAUGACCAGCAAUGUCCAAGGGGUAGCAGCAGGGUAACACUGCAUGAGGCGGUGCCCCCUGAAGGAGCCCAAAACACUGCUCUUCAAAUGGAACACAUCCAACCUUCAGGUGACCGUGCAGGAUGUACCACUCUGGAACAUCAAGCCUCUCCCCACCUGCCAGCACAUGAAAAUAUUUCUACUUCUGACCAUUGAAGAGAAUGGAAAACCAUUUUCCAGAUCAGCCCUCAUACAUCCUCCUGAUGGCCUAACAACUGAAUGACAUGUCGAUGCUGAGUAUGAUCCAUUUCAAUCAUUUGAGGAAGCUCUCCCUGAUAUAGGGGAUUGGAUGUACAAUGACGGACAUACGUUUAAUGAAGGAUUUGAAGAUGGUUUGAGUGAGGAGUGUGCAGAAGAGUCCAAUUUCAAGGACACAACAGACAAACCAAUACAUGACAAUGCAUCAGAAACCAUGGCAGAGUGCCUUCUGAUCAGCAUGGGUUAUGUAAACUGUCCUAAAGUCACAGGUAAGGCCCUAAGCCAUAUGCUCAAAAUGUUCAAGUUGCUUUAUCCCGAUAGUCUGAACACAGACUGCUUAAACAGUGUGCAGAAGUUCCAAACCUUUUUUUCAUCCCACUCUGCAUCAUCGCCUACUAUAUUACAUAAAUCCUCCAAGAAUUGUUUUGGGCCAAUAGAAAGUAAACAAAUAAAAUGCCUGCUUUGUGGGACCAGUGUGUCAGAAGAAAGGUUCUAAUCCUUUUUUUAAAGUAUGUACAGAUUGAUUUCUUGUUUACCACAGCACAUUCAUGUGCCAAAUGGGCCCUCGUUGGUGAAUAUAAACAUGCAGGUUUUUCUUUGCUGCAAGAUAGUGUAACAUAUGAGACAUGCAGUCAUGUUAUUCCCCUAUUGGAAACCUCUGCAGUACAGUAGUAUUCUUGGAUGACAUAUUGGGUAAAGUUGUUUUCCUUGACUUCACAUCUAUGCCUGGCAUAGUGAUUGCAGUUCAUUUCCCCAACACACUUGACAAGUUUGAAAUAAUGAAGAACUGAACUGGCCUAAGAAGCCACAAAUCAAAUCUUUAAUCCUUGUUAUAAAUGCUCUGAAAAUACACACUGAUGUGAUGUUGCCGUGGAUUCUGUAAAUAUGUACUGUAUAUGGAGUAUCAUUGUUGAUGAUGUUUUUGCAUUGUGUGUAAUAUUUCAGUGGCAAAUAUAUUACAUUUACUUGUUUAAUAAAGCCACUGUCUUUUUUAAUGAAUACAUAGGCCUACUAUGCUACUGCAUUUUAAUAUUAGUCCUUAUGAUGGUGGUUGGAGAGCCAAAUAUCUUCUGAAGUGGUACUUUGUUAAAAGAGUUUGAGAACCACUGCUCUAGAAAGUUCACAAAUGUUAAAAGCUCUUACAAAGUGUCUUGUGAUCAUAUCAGUAUUGUUUGGGUUCAGUUUUAAAUCUCACAAUUGUAGUCACUGAGUUACUGUACAUGACGUGUGGAUAAGAAAUCAACAAAUUAAGUCCAACUUUAUUUAAAUAAACCAUUUAGAUUACAGACCAUAUAUCCAUAUUGUCUGAAUUCAUUAUUUUCUCCCAAUGUUGGCAUGAGAUCAACUGGAAUAUGAUUGAGGUAUAACUAAAUUGUGCCCAUUAAAAUGCAUUUUUUUAGAAAACGGGUAUAUCUAACAACUCAAAUAGUGAGCAGUGAGAGACAAAACCAAGUAUAUCUCUCACUGAGACAUCAUUGAGACAUAUUGAAACCAAUACUCAUCAAUUGUCUUUUUGCCGAAAUAGAAAAGAGACAUCUGAGAACUCAGUGAGUAGUGAGAAACAAAACCAGGUGUUUCUCUCACUGAGUCAUAAUUGAGACAUAUUGGAGACCAGCUCAUUCAUCUCUCAUUUUGGUCUUAGUUGAAAUGGGGAAAAGAGAUAACUAUUAGACAACUAUGAGAUCUCUCAUAGUGCUCACUGUGAGCCUUAUUUCUCAGGAGAUACAUUUGAGAAGAAUGAGAAAACUACUUUGGUCUCCAUUAGUGCUCUUUUAUGUCUAGGAGAUAGAUAUAAGACAUACAUGAGAUCUCAUCUUCAAUUUUGCUUUGCUAUGGGAAACAAGUGUUUGAUGAGCAUUCCUCAACUUUUUCGGUCUUUUUUGACACUCGUGCCAGCUUUUUUUAAGCUUGUUGCAGGCAUCAAAUUCCAAAAUGAGCUAAUAUUUGCAAAAAAAAAAGUUUCUCAGAUCCAACAUCAAAUAUCUUGUCUUUGCAUUCUAUUCAAUUGAAUAUAAGUUAAAAAGGAUUUACAAAUCAUUGUAUUCUGUUUUUAUUUACCAUUUACACAACGUGCUACUUCACUGGUUUGGGGUUUUGUACAUGUUGACAGUACAUUGCAGUGUUAUUUUGUUACAGCCGUGCCCACUGUGUGAAGUACUUUUGCAAGACUCCUAGCAAUAAUAUUACACUUCACCAAAGAGCCUGCUGUAAAAGAAAUGACCAUUGAAUGAAGAUACAUACUCAGGUCACCGUGAUCUGAAAAGGAGAGUGAAGAAUGUUUUUGUAUUCCCCAGAUUCUAAUCAUCUUGGAUGAAUAAACAAGCAAUUCCUAAUUUCA